UACGAAGGGGGGCAAGCGUUUGUCCGGAAUUAUUGGGCGUAAAGAGCUCGUAGGCGGCUUGUCACGUCGGAUGUGAAAGCCCGGGGCUUAACCCCGGGUCUGCAUUCGAUACGGGCUAGCUAGAGUGUGGUAGGGGAGAUCGGAAUUCCUGGUGUAGCGGUGAAAUGCGCAGAUAUCAGGAGGAACACCGGUGGCGAAGGCGGAUCUCUGGGCCAUUACUGACGCUGAGGAGCGAAAGCGUGGGGAGCGAACAGG
rnacentral:rRNA from 1 species